rnacentral:rRNA from 1 species
AUUGAACGCUGGCGGCAGGCCUAACACAUGCAAGUCGAACGCGAGGCGGGCGGGUGUGUAAAGUCUGGGAAACUGCGUGAUGGAGGGGGGUAAAAACUGGAGACGGUAGCUCAUACACCAUACACGCGGAUGUGCCCGCAUGGGAUUAGCUCGUUGGGGGGGUAAAGGCUCACCAAGGCGACGAUCCCUAGCUGGUCUGAGAGGAUGACCAGCCACACUGGAACUGAGACACGGUCCAGACUCCUACGGGAGGCAGCAGUGGGGAAUAUUGCACAAUGGGCGAAAGCCUGAUGCAGCCAUGCCGCGUGUAUGAAGAAGGCCUUCGGGUUGUAAAGUACUUUCAGCGGGGAGGCGUUACUCGCAGAAGAAGCACCGGCUAACUCCGUGCCAGCAGCCGCGGUAAUAC